GAAAGACGCUUCAUGGGCGCAGCAGUGGUGUACGGGUCGGACGCACAACAAAUACCUGGAGGCUUCGGUCCUCGACGCCGCCGUCACAGCAGAGAAAGCAGCUGCAGCACUGCCUACUGCCUGCGUCACCCACACUGCCUGCAGCGUCUCAUCGCUCUGCUCCACUCCCACAAUGCAAGCAUCUUCUGAUUUACAGAGAGGAGAACAAAGAAAAGUUGAUGUGUAAAAACAAAAAUGUAGAGCUCAACUUUAUGCAAUGUUUUCUG